rnacentral:tRNA from 1 species
GGUGGCUCAGUAGUAGAGUGCUUGCCUUGCAUGCAUGAGGUCCUGGGUUCAAUUCCUCAGCACCA